CUGGGUGCGGGGCGCGGGGCGCGGGGCGCGGCAGCUGGACCGUUAGGCUGUGCCCUCCCGCCCCGGCUUCGCUGCAGCCGGACCGCCGCCUGUGCGCCGGCGAGCUCCGGGCGUUCGCUCCCGGCCCGCGGAGGAGGCCGCGGGUUACGAGCGGGGAACCUGGGGACCCCGGCCGGGCGUCCCCUGCCGCUCCCCGAGGAGGGAGAGGACAGGGUGGACAGAGUGAGGAGGUUGGGCAGAGGAGCCCCCAGGUGUCGAUCAGCUGAAGGAGGGAGGCUCACGCGCUCACCCACGCCACGAGUCAGGAGACCCAGCCAGUGCACUGACCGUCCAUGGAAAUCUUCACCGUCUUCCUCCAGAUACACCUAAAUGUAGCCCUUAUUAUGCUGAGAAUACCUGGCCUACCUCAGGAAGCUGCCAUUCCAACCCACCUGGUUCAAGCUGCUUACGUUAUCGAGGGUUGAAGAACCCAAACCAUCCACAUUUGCCAAAGGUCUGGAAGAGAGGCAUAGCUGGAGAAGGAAGAUCAAGGGAGUGUGACUUCAAGAAGAGCAUGCGGUUGUGUCAGUCAAGAAGAAUGCCAUGCCCUCCUCAACAGCCACACCCUUUUGCAUUUGGCCUGAUGGGAUGUUACUCAUCCAGACAGCAAACCCAUCACAAAGGGAAGAAAGGCUCCGGCAGCCAAGUUCACUAAGAAGAAAGAAGGACAUAUCAAGAGGAUUUAAAAGGUUCACAAUACUGACUUGGAUUUAUUAUUUAUUUAUUUAUUUAUUUAUUUAUUUAUUUUUG